rnacentral:rRNA from 1 species
GAUGAACGCUAGCGGCAGGCCUAAUACAUGCAAGACGAACGGUAAGUUGAGUAGCAAUACUUGACCUAGAGUGUCGUAAGGGUGCGUAACACGUAUGCAAUCUGCCCUCAACAGGAGGAUAGCUCAGGGAAACUUGAAUUAACCCUCCAUAGUAUAUUUGGGUGGCAUCACUUGAAUAUUAAAAACUAAGGUGGUUGAGGAUGAGCNUGCGUCUGAUUAGCUAGUUGGCGGGGUAACGGCCCACCUAGGCGAUGAUCAGUAGGGGAACUGAGAGGUUGAUCCCCCGACACUGGCACUGAGAUACGGGCCAGACUCCUACGGGAGGCAGCAGUAGGGAAUAUUGGACAAUGGGUGCAAGCCUGAUCCAGCCAUGCCGCGUGCAGGAAGACGGCCUUCUGGGUUGUAAACUGCUUUUGCCUGUGGAUAAAAAGGCCCCGUGCGCGGGCAAUUGAAGGUAACAGGUGAAUAAGCCACGGCUAACUACGUGCCAGCAGCCGCGGUAAUACGUAGGUGGCAAGCGUUGUCCGGAUUCAUCGGGUUUAAAGGGUGCGUAGGCGGCCCGAUAAGUCAGUAGUGAAAAUACCCCGGCUUAACCGGGGGGCUGCUAUUGAUACUGUCGGGCUUGAGUACAGCCGAGGUAGGCGGAAUUGACGGUGUAGCGGUGAAAUGCUUGGAUAUCGUCAAGAACACCGAUAGUGUAGACAGCUUACUAGAGUGUAACUGACGCUGAGGCACGAAAAGUGUGGGGGAUCAAAACAGGAUUAGAU